GUAAACCAGAUUUACCUGGGGCCAGAACCCAAUCGCCCUAUGGCCGCACCAAGAAGGAUGACCGUCUCCUGCAUCAUUAAGGGGGUAAGCUGUGAAUCUGGAAUAACAGCCCUUGGCCGGGCUCUGAGAUAACACUAGGUCCUGCAGAGCAGUGAGGGGAACAGACAAGAAAAGACACCGACACCUUGACACCUAUGCCUAUAACAAUGAGUGCUCCCUCAGUAC